CGGGCAUUCCGCUGAGGAAAAUGUGACUUUAACGGCUGCCUGAAGUAGCCGGGCUGACGCCGUUGGGCCCAGCCGCUCCUUGCCGUGAUGGAAACGCCGCUCCGGGGGGCUUCCUCAGCGUUCCCGCCUUGCUGCCUCGGGCCGGCGCGGGCAGGAGCCCGCUGCCUCCCGCCGCGUCGCGGGCGCAGAGCGGCCAGGCAGCCAACUCCUUUCUGAUAGGCUGCGCUGUAGAAAAAACAUGAUGUCAGCUGGGGUUUAAGUGCUAUAUAUAGUAUGUGGACAAGAUUACAAACUCGGGGGAUCUGUCUUUGACCAAGAGAAUACCUGGCACAGUUGCUCCAAGCUUCUCAACACCGAAGUCAUUAACUGUACCCCACUGUAAAGGUCAGCCUUGCAACUUUGGAAGGACAGACUUGCACCUAGCAGAAGCCUGGGUCUCCUCGUAUGCCGGCUGCUUUCUCUGAACUGGAUAUGUCCUAGUAAAGAAGAUACAACAUAGGAAUGGGAAAUACAAGAUGCUCCAACAGGUAUGGGAGUUGUAGGAACAAAACCAACAGACAUAUCAUUGAAAGAGAUCUGGACCAUCUCUUUGCUAUGGUCCUCAGCAGGCUUCCGUAUCCUGAAGUGACUUGCAGUUGGUCUGCCACAGAGCCUUGCACAAGUGCCUCUUCCUCCAGGCUUG